rnacentral:rRNA from 1 species
GAUGAACGCUGGCGGCGUGCCUAAUACAUGCAAGUCGAGCGAACAGACGAGAAGCUUGCUCUUCUGAUGUUAGCGGCGGACGGGUGAGUAACACGUGGAUAACCUACCUAUAAGACUGGGAUAACUUCGGGAAACCGGAGCUAAUACCGGAUAAUAUUUUGAACCGCAUGGUUCAAUAGUGAAAGACGGUCUUGCUGUCACUUAUAGAUGGAUCCGCGCUGCAUUAGCUAGUUGGUAAGGUAACGGCUUACCAAGGCAACGAUGCAUAGCCGACCUGAGAGGGUGAUCGGCCACACUGGAACUGAGACACGGUCCAGACUCCUACGGGAGGCAGCAGUAGGGAAUCUUCCGCAAUGGGCGAAAGCCUGACGGAGCAACGCCGCGUGAGUGAUGAAGGUCUUCGGAUCGUAAAACUCUGUUAUUAGGGAAGAACAUAUGUGUAAGUAACUGUGCACAUCUUGACGGUACCUAAUCAGAAAGCCACGGCUAACUACGUG